GUAGGGUGCAAGCGUUGAUCGGAAUUACUGGGCGUAAAGCGUGCGCAGGCGGUUUUGUAAGUUUGACGUGAAAUCCCCGGGCUCAACCUGGGAAUUGCGUUGGAGACUGCAAGGCUGGAGUCUGGCAGAGGGGGGUAGAAUUCCACGUGUAGCAGUGAAAUGCGUAGAGAUGUGGAGGAACACCGAUGGCGAAGGCAGCCCCCUGGGUCAAGACUGACGCUCAUGCACGAGAGCGUGGGGAGCAAACAGGAUUAGAUACCCUGGUAGUCCACGCCCCUAAACGAUGUCUACUAGUUGUCGGGUCUUAAUUGACUUGGUAACGCAGCUAACGCGUGAAGUAGACCCGCCUGGGGAGUACGGUCGCAAGAUUA
rnacentral:rRNA from 1 species